rnacentral:rRNA from 1 species
AUUGAACGCUGGCGGCAGGCUUAACACAUGCAAGUCGAGCGAGCGGCGGACGGGUGAGUAAUGUCUGGGAAACUGCCUGAUGGCGGGGGAUAACUACUGGAAACGGUCGCUACUCCCGCAUACUCUCAGAUGUGCCCACAUGGGAUUAGCUAGUAGGUGGGGUAAUGGCUCACCUAGGCGACGAUCCCUAGCUGGUCUGAGAGGAUGACCAGCGACACUGGGACUGAGACACUGGCCAGCCUCCUAAGGGAGGCAGCAGGGGGGAAUAUUGCACAAGGGGUGCAAGCCUGAUGCAGCCAUGCCGCGUGUGUGAAGAAGGCUUUAGGGGUGUAAAGUACUGUCAGCGAGGAGGCGUGACGCGCAGAAGAAGCACCGGCUAACUCCGUGCCAGCAGCCGCGGUAAGAC